AUUGAACGCUGGCGGCAUGCCUUACACAUGCAAGUCGAACGGCAGCGGACCUUCGGGUGCCGGCGAGUGGCGAACGGGUGAGUAAUAUAUCGGAACGUACCUUUCAGUGGGGGAUAACGCAGCGAAAGUUACGCUAAUACCGCAUAUUCUGUGAGCAGGAAAGCAGGGGAUCGCAAGACCUUGCGCUGAUUGAGCGGCCGAUAUCAGAUUAGCUAGUUGGUGAGGUAAAGGCUCACCAAGGCGACGAUCUGUAGCGGGUCUGAGAGGAUGAUCCGCCACACUGGAACUGAGACACGGUCCAGACUCCUACGGGAGGCAGCAGUGGGGAAUUUUGGACAAUGGGGGCAACCCUGAUCCAGCCAUUCCGCGUGAGUGAAGAAGGCCUCGGUUGUAAGACUCUUUCGGUCAGGAACGAAACGGUAGGUCCGUAAC
rnacentral:rRNA from 1 species